rnacentral:rRNA from 1 species
AGGAGAGACAUGCGCGCAUAUCAAUAAGCGGAGGAAAAGAAACUAACAAGGAUUCCCUUAGUAACGGCGAGUGAAGCGGGAAGAGCUCAAAUUUGAAAUCCUCAAGGUUUUACCUUGACGAAUUGUAGUUUAAAGAAGUGUUUUCUGCUGAAGUUUUGGUAAAAGUUCUUUGGAAUAGGACAUCAUAGAGGGUGAGAAUCCCGUAUUUGACCAUUAUUUUCAGCUUUGUGAUACACUUUCAAAGAGUCGGAUUGUUUGGGAAUGCAGUCCAAAAUGGGUGGUAAAUUUCAUCUAAAGCUAAAUAUUGGCGAGAGACCGAUAGCGAACAAGUACCGUGAGGGAAAGAUGAAAAGAACUUUGAAAGAGAGUUAAACAGUACGUGAAAUUGUCAAAAGGGAAGCGAUUGACACCAGUGUUGUUUUCUCGAAAAUCAAUUAAAAAUGGCUCGAUUUUGUAUUGUUGAGACCUUAAAAGCUCACUGUACAUUUUUCGUGUCUUUUUUAAUGCACUUUUCGUUUAACAAGUCAACAUCAGUUUCUUUUGUUGUAAAAGGGUCAUUGGAAGGUGGCUUUCUUUUCGGAGAAAGUGUUUAUAGCCUUUGGCCUCUGCAAUCGGAGAGACUGAGGUCUGCAGCGUAGACUCUUCGGGGUUAGAUACAUUUGUGCUAAGUUAUAGCUUUUUAUAGACAACUUGUUGACUAUAAUUAGUCUUGUAGCUUACUCGCUUAUGCUAUUUUACCUACGCUUAGGAUGUUGAGUCGUAGAGCACGCAG